AUCGAGAGUGUGGAUGGCUGACACUCCGCCUGUCAAUAGUAGGCAUCUCGCGAGAGUCUUGAUCGUAUAUUGAGGUGGCGGUUUGCGCCGCUAUAGAGACUGAGAUAGCUUUGCUCUCAAUUAGUAUACUGUUCUUCUAGACCAAAAUCCAAAUUCUAGUAAUGAUGAGUCGAUUAUUGGAGGUAGCUGUCUUCUUGAAAAUUAUAAGCGGCUUCCAACGACUUAUAUAAAAUGUUUGACACAUUCAACCAUGGAGAGGUACACAAUUGAGCAGCGCGUUAAGAUUGUUGAAGCCUUUUACGAAAAUUGGCGUUCAAAUCAAAAUGCAUAUCGUGCACUUCGUGAUUUUUUUGCAAACCCUGUCUGUAAGAAAUGUGGAAACACCUGUGCAUGCUCGACCCGUUCGUUCUGCAGGAAACAUUGCUGUUGUUCGCGAUAGUGUGGCAGAAGAGCCGUCAACCUCGACUCGUCGUCGUACCCAACAAUUAAACAUCUCCCGAACAUCACUGAUGCGAAUUUUGAAUAAACAUCUGGAUUUACACGCUUACAAGG